UUUUAGCCCGUGUUCACAAAACAUGCACACAACACACUAAACACAAUACACUAGACACACAGUAUCAGGGUGGUUUCCAAAUCACUAGGCUAAUCAGCCUUGAAUUCUCAACAUUUUCAAAUGCAAAAGUCGUGUUGGGGGGUGCUGAUGCUGAAUGGGGACUGUGACAUGGAAUUCUCUUUCCUCUGAACAGCCAAGGCUUUACUCUCUUCUACUCCUACCCGGAGAAGGUAAAGCAUGUAGUGACCUCAGGGACUGCUUACCCCUUAAGGAUUUACUUCCAGGGGUGCGUGUGAAAGUCCUCCCGCCUUCUGUCUGGUGCGAGGUCUUUCUAGACAUAAUGACCAGGUUCAGGCAAGGCUAUAAAUUCACUCAUUUUCCCUGCAAGGCAUUUGCAAAGAAUGCAGGAGAGUGAGAGUGGAAAGAAAAGGCAGAGAGAAAGAUGGCUGUGAUUGUCACAUCCCUAGCCGGGCCAAGCCCCAAAGUCUGCGCCUUGAGGCAGCCUCAGAGCCUGGCCGCCAUCUCUCUGUAGGAAACAGAACAUCUGAUCAAGUUCAGAGGCGCCAGGAGAGACCGCCUCAAGCAGCGCUUUAUAACUGCAGCCUUUCACUUCCUGCUCCCCAAUCUGCCUGGCCCAGCCAACACUUCACCUUCUUUCUUAGCCGGUUUGCUGGGAGAAAACCCUACCGGUAGCACAUCUUACCGUAUUCACCCCCUCCCAUCAAACUCGCCCCAAUUCUCUCUCCACAUCCAGAGCUCUCUCCCCAGGUUGGAAGACGGAGUUUUACUCUUGCUGCCCAGGCUGGAGUGCAAUGGUAUGAUCCUGGCUCACCGCAACCUCCGCCUCCCAGGUUCAAGUGAUUCUCCUGCCUCAGCUUCCCAAGUAGCUGGGAUUACAGAUAAGAGAAAGGCCAGAUCCAACAAACAUUGACUGAGCCAUCACCAAAUGUGGGGCCCCGCGGCAGAGACUCGAAGGGUCGUUCUGCAUAAAAAAGUUGAUGACAGCAUAGCUUCGUUUAUACAGCUGGGACCCUCUGGAGUCUACAGAUGGAUUGUUAGAGAUGUGGCCUGCCAGCUGCCUUUGGAGAGUAGCCAAAUCUGCUGGGACCCAGCCACUUCAGGCACAGAUGUGCUUGCCUUUCCUGAAUGGAUGUCUUCCAGAAACGUUGGCUGUGAUGUCUGGUUUUUGUAUCUAUUGUUACUUCCAACGAAGACACAUAUACAAAAGACUCCUGGCUGCCUUUUAAAUGAAAACGUGCAGCAUAUUAGGAUCAAUCAUUUGUCUAAUGUUGUCUAGGAUCCAAUAUGAAGGAACAGCUCCUCUCACGAAUACUGUUGGUCUCCUGGAUGGAGAAAGGAAUGUGGUGAACCGUGAGCUGACUCUCAGGGCCUUUGUUCAGAACAUUUUACUUCUGUUCAUAUGUCAUAGGACAAAGCAAAUUAUAUGACUGAGCUGGAUGCAAAUGGGGAGGGGAAGAGGACUCUUCCCACAGGGAGGGGCAUAAGUCACACAGCUAAGGCUGAUGUCAACAGGGCAGGGAUGUAUAAUCCUCCCAUAGGGAGGAGUAGCUAAUAUUUUGAACAAUAUUAUAAUCCACCACAGUGACCUCGGGCAUGUCACUUGACCUUUUUGUGCCUUGGUUUUCUCAUUGUUAAAAUGCAAAUAAUAAUAGAGCUUACCUCAUAGGGCUGAUAUGAGGAUUAAAAUGACUUAAUUCUCGUAGAGCAUUUAAAAUCCUGCCUAGUACACAAUAAAUGCUAGAUAAGUGGUUGCUAAAUAAAAAUAAAUACAAUGUUUGUCCACACAAUUGUUUCCUCUUGCUAUGGUGAAAAUCAUGUAUUCCAUGCUUUAUUAUUACAUGCCUAGAAACGAAGAUACUUUGCCUACAGGCAUUUAAAAACAAGACAUUUCUGUUUUUAAAAGCCUGUGGCUUUAAAAUUAAGGCUUCCAAAGUUGUGUCAUUGCUUAAACUUCUUGAGAAAUGUCCCUAUCAUGGCUUGCAGUCUGAUUAGUUCUUUCUGGAAAAGAGAAGAGAUUCUGUGUGGUAGGAAUAGGACAGCAGGUGGUGGUAGCAUAAAACAGAAGAAAAGCUGCACAGCUGAAAAAGGAUGGAAACCAAAAGGUCCAAAAACCUGCUCUCAGCUGUGAUAGAAGCAGCAUCACAGGAACCCAGUUAUAUGAGCUGCUGUCUGAGUGGCCACCACCUUUGGCGGGGGAAAAAAGGAUUUCUAUUCACAUUAUGCUUUUCUUUUUUUCCCUGCUAUACUCUGAGUGCCCAGUUGUGUACUUUGACUGAAAUACUGCUCACUCGGUAUGCCUGUUAAUCCCCUCUAGCAACAUUGAACAUCCACCUGGGAUUCACUAAAAGCACUGAAAGUUGUUUUGCUCAGUCAUCUGGCUUCCUGAGUUUAAAAAGGUAACAAUUGAUCCACACCUGAAAACAAAUCAGAAAAAAAAUGUAUCUAUAGACAAAAAAACCUAGCCUGCUCCACACCUCUUCCAAUCCCUACUAAAAGAACAACUACUUGUAUGAAGACUGGGAGGGAAAAUAUUUGAUUUUUUUUCUUAUAAGCCCUGCUUUGCACAAAAGAGAACUUAAUAAAUGCAUAUGAUAUUAAACUUCUCAUUAAAUAUCUUACAUCUUUUCUACGUAUAUUCUGGGAUCUCUAAGGUGCCUUCCAGUCCUGGAGCUUCUAUACUGGAUAUAAAUAUUACAUAAAGCCUCACUGUAGGAGUGAGGGGCUCUCUAAUUUCUCGCUGUCUAUAACCAUUUAUGCUCUACAAUCUUAAAUUAGAAUACAGUCACCCAUUUCACAGGUGGCUUAGCCAGAAAGGAUCAUCCUAUUUCCAAAAGUCUGUAAACUUGAUUAUAAACCACAGACCUCUUCAGCCCUGAGAAUUGAUAGCAAGCCUACAGUAACUACCACAGCUGACAUUCAUCAAUCACUUUUACCAUAAACCAGGCACAUGAAUUAUUUCAUUUAAUCUUCCCAAUGAAUAAGAAUUAAUCAUCGCUAUUUCACAAAUGAAGAAACGCAGUAACCAAGAAAUAACGUAAAUUGCUCAAAGUUCACAUAAAGUGAUGAUUGAGCACUUGGAUUCUGAAAUUAGACUGCUGGAUUACAGAGACUCAUUUAAUCAUUUUUUAAAAUACGACAAAUUAUUGCUAACUAUAGUCACCCUAUUGUGCUACAAAAUACUAGAUCUUAUCCGUUCCACAUUGUUGCAAGCCUUUCCACCUCUGGCUGAGUUCCAGGAGAUUUAAAGAGCUAGCACCUAUAAAAACUUUUUUUUUUUUUUCAAAUAAAAAAAUCAUUAGGACCUAGGGCUAGGUGAAGAGUUUUUAGACUUAACACCAAAAGUAUGAUCCCUAACUGAAAAGUUUGACAUUUUUGACCUCAUAAAAAUAAAAUACUUUCGCUACAUUGAAUAUUCUAUUAAGAACACAAAAAGACAAGCUACAUAGUGGGAGAAAAUCUUUGCAAACCUCAUAGUGGAAAAGGACAGGUAUCUAGACUACAUAAAAAUUUUCUAAAACCCAACAAUGAGAAAACAACCCAAUUAAAAAAUAGGCAAAAUAUCUGAACAGAUACCUCACUAAAGAAGACAUAUGAAGGCAAAUAAGGUGCAUGAAAAGGCAUUCAACAUCAUUAGCCAUUAAGGAAAUUCAAAUUAAAACCACAAUGAGAUAUCAAUACACACAAAUCAAGAGAGCUAAAAUAAAAACUUGUGGCAACAACAAAUGCUGAUGAGAAUGCUGAGAAACUGGAUCACUCAUACAUUAUGUGUGGGAAUGUAAAAUCAUACAACUGCUCUGGAAAAUCACUUGGCAGUUCCUUUUAAAAUUUAAGUGGGCUUACCAUAUGACUCAGACCUUGUACUUGCCAAUGAAAACUUAUAUUAUUGUACAAAUCUGUACACAGAAGUUCAUAGAUGCUUUAUUUAUAAUAGCUCCAAACUGGAGAUAACUAAGACCUUAGAUGGUUAUAUGGUUAAAGAAGCUGUGGUACAUCCAUCACAUGGAAUUACUGAACAAUUAAAAGGAAUGAACUAUUGAUUCAAGCAGCAACUUGGAUAUAUCUCCAGGGAAUUAUACUGAGUAAAAAAAAGGUAAUCUCAAAAGAGCACAUACUAUAUGAUUCAAUUCAUAAAACAUUCUUGAAAUAAUACAAUUAUAGAGAUGGGGAAUGGAUUAGUGGUUGCCAGAUGCUAGGAAUGGUGGGAGAAAUGAUAUGGGUGUGAUUAUAAAGUAGUAGCAGGAGGGAGGUCUUUGUGGUAAUGGAAUAGUUCUGUGCCUUAAUUGUGGUCAUGCUUCUAUGAAUCUACACAUCGUAAAAUGAAACAUAUAUAUACAUUGUUCAAUGUCAGCUUCUGGUUUUGAUAUUGUACUAAAAUUACAUAAGAUAUAAACAUUGGGAGAAACUGGAUGAAGGGAACACAGGCUCUUCCUGUACAUUUUUAAUAACUUCCUGUGAAUCUACAAUUACUUAAAAAUAAAAUGUUUUUUAAAACUUUGUUAAAUAAAAUGUUGGAAGCAAAGCUGGAAUUUGAAUGUCAGUUUGUCUUGAGUCUAAAGUUAAGCUGUAUAAUAAUAGUGAAUAUCUAUUAAGUGAUUAGACUAGGUACUAUUAAGUACCUUGCCAGACAUCACACAGUUAGAAAGUGACAGUGCAGGACUAGAAACCAAGUCUGAGUCCAC
rnacentral:lncRNA from 1 species